UGCUUACACAUGCAGUCGAACGGUGAUGUCAGAGCUUGCUCUGGCGGAUCAGUGGCGAACGGGUGAGUAACACGUGAGUAACCUGCCCCCGACUCUGGGAUAACUGCUAGAAAUGGUAGCUAAUACCGGAUAUGACGAUUGGCCGCAUGGUCUGGUCGUGGAAAGAAUUUCGGUUGGGGAUGGACUCGCGGCCUAUCAGGUUGUUGGUGAGGUAAUGGCUCACCAAGCCUACGACGGGUAGCCGGCCUGAGAGGGUGACCGGCCACACUGGGACUGAGACACGGCCCAGACUCCUACGGGAGGCAGCAGUGGGGAAUAUUGCACAAUGGGCGAAAGCCUGAUGCAGCAACGCCGCGUGAGGGAUGACGGCCUUCGGGUUGUAAACCUCUUUUAGUAGGGAAGAAGCGAAAGUGACGGUACCUGCAGAAAAAGCACCGGCUAACUACGUGCCAGCAGCCGCGGUAAUACGUAGGGUGCAAGCGUUGUCCGGAAUUAUUGGGCGUAAAGAGCUCGUAGGCGGUUUGUCGCGUCUGCUGUGAAAUCCCGAGGCUCAACCUCGGGUCUGCAGUGGGUACGGGCAGACUAGAGUGCGGUAGGGGAGAUUGGAAUUCCUGGUGUAGCGGUGGAAUGCGCAGAUAUCAGGAGGAACACCGAUGGCGAAGGCAGAUCUCUGGGCCGUAACUGACGCUGAGGAGCGAAAGCAUGGGGAGCGAACAGGAUUAGAUACCCUGGUAGUCCAUGCCGUAAACGUUGGGAACUAGAUGUGGGGACCAUUCCACGGUCUCCGUGUCGCAGCUAACGCAUUAAGUUCCCCGCCUGGGGAGUACGGCCGCAAGGCUAAAACUCAAAGGAAUUGACGGGGGCCCGCACAAGCGGCGGAGCAUGCGGAUUAAUUCGAUGCAACGCGAAGAACCUUACCAAGGCUUGACAUAUACCGGAAACAUGCAGAAAUGUGUGCCCCGCAAGGUCGGUAUACAGGUGGUGCAUGGUUGUCGUCAGCUCGUGUCGUGAGAUGUUGGGUUAAGUCCCGCAACGAGCGCAACCCUCGUUCUAUGUUGCCAGCACGUAAUGGUGGGAACUCAUAGGAGACUGCCGGGGUCAACUCGGAGGAAGGUGGGGAUGACGUCAAAUCAUCAUGCCCCUUAUGUCUUGGGCUUCACGCAUGCUACAAUGGCCGGUACAAAGGGCUGCGAUACCGUAAGGUGGAGCGAAUCCCAAAAAGCCGGUCUCAGUUCGGAUUGAGGUCUGCAACUCGACCUCAUGAAGUCGGAGUCGCUAGUAAUCGCAGAUCAGCAACGCUGCGGUGAAUACGUUCCCGGGCCUUGUACACACCGCCCGUCAAGUCAUGAAAGUCGGUAACACCCGAAGCCAGUGGCCUAACCGCAAGGGAGGAGCUUCGAAG
rnacentral:rRNA from 1 species